rnacentral:rRNA from 1 species
AGAGACAGCAGCAGCCACGGGAAUACGUAGGUGGCAAGCGUUGUCCGGAAUUAUUGGGCGUAAAGGGCUCGCAGGCGGUUUCUUAAGUCUGAUGUGAAAGCCCCCGGCUCAACCGGGGAGGGUCAUUGGAAACUGGGAAACUUGAGUGCAGAAGAGGAGAGUGGAAUUCCACGUGUAGCGGUGAAAUGCGUAGAGAUGUGGAGGAACACCAGUGGCGAAGGCGACUCUCUGGUCUGUAACUGACGCUGAGGAGCGAAAGCGUGGGGAGCGAACAGGAUUAGAUACCCCUGUAGUCCCUGUCUCUUAUAA